rnacentral:misc_RNA from 1 species
UUCCACCCGCCGACGGAAGUCAAAGGUCGUCGGCAUUUGAUCGCCGGACUUUGUGAACUAAUACAAGUAGUAGUUUUUUUCCCCCAGCGAUUCCAAUCAAAAUGAAGAGCAGAGGGAAAUCAGUCAUCGGAGGAUGGUGGAACCUAGGCUUACCUUCCGUAUUUCUAUUAUGUCUCUUCUUCUUCCUCCUCGGAUUAUUUGCUUCUGUUCUCUUCUCUCAGCAGGAUGUACCUAAUGUAAGGUCGAGGGUGCUUGAAUCUGUUGAUCUGGAGAAGGACUUUGAUCCCUUGCCUACCGGUGUGUCUGGAGAUGAUUCCUUCACUUCCAUCCCCUUUCAGGUUUUAAGCUGGUUCCCUCGUGCAUUAUACUUUCCCAAUUUUGCGUCUAUAGAACAAUGCCAGAGCAUAAUUAAGAUAGCAAAGACAAGUUUGGAACCAUCAUCAUUGGCUCUUCGCAAAGGAGAAACAGAAGAGACCACCAAAGGAAUUAGAACGAGUUCUGGCACGUUUAUAAGUGCAUCAGAAGACAAAACUGGAAUCUUGGAUCUUAUUGAGGAGAAAAUUGCAAGAGCGACAAUGAUCCCCAAGACACAUGGUGAGGCAUUUAAUGUUUUGCGGUAUGAAAUUGGGCAAAGAUAUCAGUCACAUUAUGAUGCUUUCGAUCCUGCUCAAUAUGGCCCUCAGAAGAGCCAAAGGGUUGCAUCCUUCUUAUUAUAUUUAUCUGAUGUUGAAGAAGGUGGGGAAACUGUGUUCCCUUUUGAGAGCGCGCAGAAUAUGGAUGGUACCUAUGAUUACAGCAAGUGUAUUGGUUUGAAAGUGAAGCCACGCAGAGGGGAUGGACUUCUAUUCUACUCACUGCUUCCAAAUGGUACAAUUGAUUUGACAUCACUUCACGGUAGUUGCCCAGUAAUAAGAGGAGAAAAAUGGGUGGCCACCAAGUGGAUCAGGAAUAUAGAACAGGACGAGUAAAUGCCUGUACAAUAAAGUGUUGUUCAUUAUGUAUUUCUAGUAAUUUAACCUGAGUGAAGAAAACAGUUUUCGAGUUGAU